GAAAAGACUUGUACUCGUAAAAAUCCGUAGUGCGACUUCCUCGCGAAAGCGGGGUUGAAUAAUUCGGCUUAUAUGCGGGAAACCUUUAUAGAGCUGCGUUCCGAUGUUGUUUCGGGAUUCUAUAUUGACAAUCCGCAGGGAAGUCUCCGCCAACUGGUGGAUGACCCUUCAGAGACUGAUCUCUAGGGUUGGUAAACCCGACGAGUGAGAUGGAGAUGUAACAAUCUUCAUCAGACGCCGAACUCCAGCACUGAUUUUUGGGUUCAAAAUAAAAAAGGCCCCGUAACAUGUACGGGGCCAGGCAAUCGGAUAGAAUCUAAAAAUUAGUGCUGGAUGAUGAUAUAGUCCAUGAUAUAAUUAUUAAG
rnacentral:ncRNA from 1 species